rnacentral:rRNA from 1 species
CAGCAGCCGCGGUAAUACGUAGGGUGCGAGCGUUAAUCGGAAUUACUGGGCAUAAAGCGUGCGCAGGCGGUUCGUUAAGACAGAUGUGAAAUCCCCGGGCUUAACCUGGGAACUGCAUUUGUGACUGUAUAGCUAGAGUACGGCAGAGGGGGAUGGAAUUCCGCGUGUAGCAGUGAAAUGCGUAGAUAUGCGGAGGAACACCGAUGGCGAAGGCAAUCCCCUGGGCCUGUACUGACGCUCAUGCACGAAAGCGUGGGGAGCAAACAGGAUUAGAUACCCCAGUAGUCCCUGUCUCUUAUAC